rnacentral:rRNA from 1 species
AUUGAACGCUGGCGGCAGGCCUAACAAAUGCAAGUCGAACGAUUGGCGGACGGGUGAGUAAUGUCUGGGAAACUGCCUGAUGGAGGGGGAUAACUACUGGAAACGGUAGAUAAUACCGCAUACCAUCUGAUGUGCCCAGAUGGGAUUAGCUAGUAGGGGGGGUAAAGGCUAACCUAGGCGACGAUCCCUAGCUGGUCUGAGAGGAUGACUAGCCAAACUGGCACUGAGACACGGUCCAGACGACUACGGGAGGCAGCAGUGGGGAAUAUUGCACGAUGGGCGCAAGCCUGAUGCAGCCAUGCCGCGUGUAUGAAGAAGGCCUUCGUGUUGUAAAGUACUUUCAGCGGGGAGGCGUUACCCGCAGAAGAAGCACCGGCUAACUCCGUGACAGCAGCCGCGGUAAUUC